GCCAUCGGUCUAUGGAACGACGGCGGAAACCGAGCUGAGUUGUGCUGGAACAUAGUGAAAUUUUUCAAUGUUUACGUUUUUUUCCUUCCGUCAGUGCAGGUUCGAUUCUUGGUGCUCGUAAUGAAAAAGGAAAAAACCGAAUCCGGAAGUGAUGGAAGUGGAAAUAUAGACAAACUGAGUGGGGAAAUGUGUGAUUUGGAAGGAAGAAUCCGCGGAAAAUUGGGCUUGAUUUGAGCAAAACUCUGGUUUGUGCAGCUGCUGCGUCAUUUGAUCACCAGUACCAGAGUGUUAGUCUUCAUGAUUUAGCUCAGGAUCCGCAUUUCAAUACAAAUUAAGUUAAUAUUCCAAGGGAAAAUAUUAUGCAUCGGUGGUCCCCUCGUUAUUUUUCGUUCAGCCCAGUUAGCAAGCAGCCCUCGAUGACUGGGCUACGUUUUCGAACAACUACUCCCACAAGUUCCUGAGUCCAGCCGAGUCCGGUUCCAGAUUGCAGAGACGAACGUUUUGAAGAAGUACUAUGUAGUACGAUUGACCACGCUGAGAAUGCGUCAUACUAUGCCACAGAAACGCCAUCAAGUCACCAUCGGGAUCGCAUCUUGGCAAUUUCUUUAUCCUUCAAUGAAAUGUUGUACAGAACCGGAGGAUUAUUCCGGUUCCUCCUCCGGUACAAGCCGAUGCAUCGUGCUCGGAAUUUCGCAGAAGGACUCCCCAUGACGGAGCGAAGUCCGUGCAGGAUGGUUUGGCUUAGUCGGAAGGAAUCGCCGCCCGGGAAACUCUCCGCGACCAUCCCGAACUCGCGCAAGUCCCUGUUCGAGUCGCGGAUUUCCACACCAAAGCGCAAGAGCUCGAACGAGAUUGCGGCGUCGUCGAGCAAGCCGAAGAUCCCAAAGGAACCAGCUGGACUCGCAAGCCUUCGACGCCUGGGAGAGCGAGCAGAUGGAACUGGUUGUUGCCGGAGGCGGUCGUUCAGCAGAUCGAUGACGACGAUGAUUACUUCCCGAGCUACCAGGAGGCCGUCGAUCCCAACUGCAGCCAGUUGUUCCUGGAGGAAGUCGAUCGCAAUGAGAAGAAGAUGGGCGUGUUCAACGGGUUUGAACGCACCCUGCUGGACACGAGCAACGUCGAGUUCAACGCCCCGCCGCUGGAGGUUGAUGCGGACCUGGCCGAAAUCAACUGGGAGGAGGAUGUGACGAUCGCGGCCGAGAAACCGUCGAACCGGUCCCGGUUCAACAUUUUCGGCAAGCAGGCGAGCGCGGAGUUCAAGACGAUCGGCUACGACUUGGGCAUUCCGCUGUUAAAUCGCUUCCUGCGGCGCCACUCGAAGUUCGCGUGUGCGGCGCUGUUUGCCCGGCUGGAACAAGACCAACUUCAGAUCAACUUCAAAUUGAAAAACUACUCGGUAAUCAUGACCCGGUACAAGCAAUUCUGGACUACAUCUCGACCUCGAAGAACAUGAAGCAGUUGCAAAACUUUUACGAGACCACGCUGGAAGCGCUCAAAGACGCCAAGAACAAUCGGCUCUGGUUCAAAACCAAAACGAAGCUCGGGAAGCUGUACUUCGAUCGGAACGACUUUGGCAAGCUCCAGAAAAUCCUCAAACAGCUGCACCAAUCCUGCCAGACGGACGACGGCGAGGACGACCUUAAAAAGGGAAAGCUGCUAGAAGUCUACGCGCUUGAGAUCCAAAUGUACACCGUAAAAACAACAAAAAGCUAAAGGCCCUCCACGAACAGUCCCUGCACAUUAAAUCAGCCAUCCCGCACCCCUUAAUCAUGGGCGUCACCUGGGAGUUCGGCGGCAGGUGCGCGCGAAGGCGAGUUCGAAAAGGUGCUCACGGACUUUUUCGAAGCGUUUAAAAACUACGACGAGUACGGCUCGUACCUCGUCCUCGCGAACGUGCUCAAGAAGUCCGGCAUCAACCCGUUCGACUCGCAGGAAGCGAAACCGCACAAAAACAGCCCGGAAAUCCUGUCCAUGACGAACCUGAUCGUGAGCUACAAGAACAACGACAAAAUGGAGUUCGAGUCGAUCCUGCGGAACAACCGGAACAACACCAUGGCCGAUCCGUUCAUCCGGGAGCACAUCGAGAACCUGCUGCGGAACCGUGAUCGACCGAUGACGACCGUGCGCAGCAGCAGCAGCGCCAGGAAACUCACUGGAACCGUUUUUGCCGGAACCGAUGCCUUUCACAAGGGCAUUUUCUACAAGGCCGGGCGCGUGUUCAACGUUGUAAAUUACGCCCUCGAUGUGAUCGUGAACAGGCGCGUCAACGGGACCAUCCUGGUCAAGCGCAUCGAGCACGUGAAGUCGUCCCGAUGCCGUAAGGACAUUCUGCGUCGCGUCAAGGAAAACUGCUCCUGGCCUUGAUCUACCUGAAGCGCAACGUGGCAAACUACGUGACGAGCAGGUCAUCGUGAACUCUUCCAUGUCCGUCUUCCGGAUGGCCCCGAUUCCCGGCGCGAUUUCGUCGUGGUGCCGCGAAUUCGUCAAGAGUUUAAAAAACAUAACCAAAGAAACAUAAAAUUUGUAAAUCUACCUGAGAAUAAAUCUUUACGUGUUCUGGUA